GCUAACCUGAGUAGUUGGGUGAAUCAAUGUGCCUGUUGAGCUAGCCUGAGUAGUUGGGUGAAUCAAGGUGCCUAUUGGGUUAGGCUUAGUAGUUGGGUGAAUCAAGGUGCCUGUUGAGCUAGCCUGAGUAGUUGGGUGAAUCAAGGUGCCUGUUGGGUUAGCCUGAGUAGUUGGGUGAAUCAAUGUGCCUGCUGAGCUAGCCUGAGCAGUUGCAUGAAUCAAGGUGCCUGUUGAACUAGCCUGUGUGGUUGAAUGAAUCAAACUGACUGUUGAACCUGCCUGAGUGGUUGGGUGAAUCAAGGUGCCUCUUGGGCUAGCCUGAGUAGUUGGGUGAAUCAAUGUGCCUAUUCGGUUAGCCUGAGCAGUUGGGGGAAUCAAGGUGACUGUUGAACCUGCCUGAGUGGUUGGGUGAAUCAAGGUGCCUCUUGGGCUAGCCUGAGUAGUUGGGUGAAUCAAUGUGCCUAUUCGGUUAGCCUGAGCAGUUGGGUGAAUCAAGGUGCCUCUUGGGCUAGCCUGAGUAGUUAGGUGAGUCAAUGUGCCUAUUGGGUUAGUCUGAACAGUUGGGUGAAUCAAGGUGACUGUUGA